ensembl:lncRNA
UAUCUGUCAUAGUUGUUUUUAUCACACAAGUGGUGCCAAUGAUAGUGGUUUCUGCAAUAGUGGUGCCAAGUGGCAGUUUGAGACAUUGCGCCCGGAGUAGUAGUUUCUGCAGGAGUUAAGCCAAGGGUAGUAGUUUCUGCAGGAGUAGUGCCAAGGGUAGUAGUUUCUACAGAAGUAGUUUCUAGAGGGUAGUGUGUGUACAAGUGGUGGUACAUUCUAAGGAAUCGGUAUCUGUCAUAGUUUUUUUCACACAAGUGGUGCCAAUGAUAGUGGUUUCUGCAAUAGUGGUGCCAAGUGGCAGUUUGAGACAUUGCGCCCGGAGUAGUAGUUUCUGCAGGAGUUAAGCCAAGGGUAGUAGUUUCUGCAGGAGUAGUGCCAAGGGUAGUAGUUUCUACAGAAGUAGUUUCUAGAGGGUAGUGUGUGUACAAGUGGUGGUACAUUCUAAGGAAUCGGUAUCUGUCAUAGUUUUUUUCACACAAGUGGUGCCAAUGAUAGUGGUUUCUGCAAUAGUGGUGCCAAGUGGCAGUUUGAGACAUUGCACCUGGAGUAGUAGUUUCUGCAGGAGUUAUGCCAAGGGUAGUAGUUUCUGCAGGAUGUGUGUACAAGUGGUGGUACAUUCUAAGAAAUCGGUAUCUGUCAUAGUUUUUUUCACACAAGUGGUGCCAAUGAUAAUGGUUUCUGCAGUGGUGGUGCCAAGUGGCAGUUUGAGACAUUGUGCCCGGAGUAGUAGUUUCUGCAGGAGUUGUGCCAAGGGUAGUAGUUUCUGCAGGAGUUGUGCCAAGGGUAGUAGUUUCUACAGAAGUAGUUUCUAGAGGGUAGUGUGUGUACAAGUGGUAGUACAUUCUAAGGAAUCGGUAUCUAUCAUAGUUUUUUUCACACAAGUGGUGCCAAUGAUAGUGGUUUCUGCAGUGGUGGUGCCAAGUGGCAGUUUGAGAUGUGAUGCCCGGUGUAUUAGUUUCUGCAGGAGUUGUGCCAAGGGUAGUAGUUUCUGCAGGAGUUGUGCCAAGGGUAGUAGUUUCUACAGAAGUAGUUUCUGCAGGGUAGUGUGUGUACAAGUGGUGGUACAUUCUAAGGAAUCGGUAUCGGUCAUAGUUGUUCUUUUCACACAAGUGGUGCCAAUGAUAGUGGUUUCUGCAAUAGUGGUGCCAAGUGGCAGUUUGAGAUGUUGUCCUAUUAACAGCAGAUGUUAUGCCAGGUGUAGUUAUUCCUGUUGAACUAACUGGGGUUGUAGUUUUUGCAGAAGUUGAGUCAAGAGUAGUAGUUUCUUCAGAAGUGCUGCCAAUGGUAGUAGUUUCUACAGAAGUGGUUUCCAGGGUAGUACUUUCUGCAAAAGUGGUUUCAAGGGUACUAGUUUCUACAGAAGUGGUGCCAAGGAUACUAGAUUCUGAAUAAGUGGGUCCUGCAGAAGUGGUUUCCAAGAGAGUAAACUCAACAGAAGUGGUACCAAGGACAGUAGUUUCUGUAGAAGUGGGUCCUGCAGAAGUGGUUGCUAGGGUAGUAGUUUCUACGGAAGCUGUGGCCAGGGUUGUAAUUUCGGCAGAAAUUGUGCCAAAGGCAGUAGUUUCUGCAGGAGUGGUGCCCAGAGUUGUAGAUUUUACAGAAGUGGUGC